rnacentral:rRNA from 1 species
UACGAAGGGGGCUAGCGUUGUUCGGAAUUACUGGGCGUAAAGCGCGCGUAGGCGGACCAUCAAGUCAGGGGUGAAAGCCUGGAGCUUAACUCCAGAACUGCCUUUGAUACUGUUGGUCUUGAGGUCGGGAGAGGUGAGUGGAACUGCGAGUGUAGAGGUGAAAUUCGUAGAUAUUCGGAGGAACACCAGUGGCGAAGGCGGCUCACUGGCUCGACACUGACGCUGAGGUGCGAAAGCGUGGGGAGCAAACAGG